rnacentral:rRNA from 1 species
AAGUCGUAACAAGGUUUCCGUAGGUGAACCUGCGGAAGGAUCAUUAUUGAAUUAACUUGUUGGGUUGUAGCUGGCUCCUAGGAGCAUGUGCACACCCUUCAUCGUUUUUCCACCUGUGCACCUUUUGUGGUCCUGGAUACCUCUCGAGGCAACUCGGAUUGAGGGCUUGCAGUGCGAAAGCCGGCUUGCCCUUACAUUUCCAGGACUAUGUUUUCAUACACCCCAAUAGAAUGUUAUAGAAUGUCAUUUAUGGGCUUCACAGCCUUUAAACUUAUACAACUUUCAACAACGGAUCUCUUGGCUCUCGCAUCGAUGAAGAACGCAGCGAAAUGCGAUAAGUAAUGUGAAUUGCAGAAUUCAGUGAAUCAUCGAAUCUUUGAACGCACCUUGCGCCCCUUGGUAUUCCGAGGGGCACGCCUGUUUGAGUGUCAUUAAAUUCUCAACCUUGCCAGCUUUUACGAGUCGGCGUAGGCUUGGAUGUGGGGGNUGNCGGCUUCUUCAGAGGUCGGCUCUCCUUAAAUGCAUUAGCGGAACCUUUGUGGACCGUCUCUGGUGUGAUAAUUAUCUACGCCAUUGCCGUGAAGCAGCUUUACAUGGGGUUCAGCUCAUAACCGUCCAUUAACUUGGACAACUCUUGACAUUUUGACCUCAAAUCAGGCGGGACUACCCGCUGAACUUAAGCAUAUCAAUAAGCGGAGGAAAAGAAACUAACAAGGAUUCCCCUAGUAACUGCGAGUGAACCGGGAAAAGCUCAAAUUUAAAAUCUGGCAGCUUCGCUGUCCGAGUUGUAAUCUAGAGAAGUGUUAUCCGCGCUGGACCGUGUACAAGUCUCCNGGAAUGGAGCGUCAUAGAGGGUGAGAAUCCCGUCUUCGACACGGACUACCAGGGCUUUGUGAUGCGCUCUCAAAGAGUCGAGUUGUUUGGGAGUGCAGCUCAAAAUGGGUGGUAAAUUCCAUCUAAAGCUAAAUAUUGGCGAGAGACCGAUAGCGAACAAGUACCGUGAGGGAAAGAUGAAAAGAACUUUGGAAAGAGAGUUAAACAGUACGUGAAAUUGUUGAAAGGGAAACGCUUGAGGUCAGUCGCGUCGGCCAGGGAUCAACCUUGCUCUUUUGCGGGGCGUACUUCCUGGUUGACGGGCCAGCAUCAGUUUUGACCGUUGGAAAAAGGUUAGGGGAAUGUGGCAUCCUCGGAUGUGUUAUAGCCCUUAGCCACAUACAACGGCUGGGACUGAGGAACUCAGCACGCCGCAAGGCCGGGGCUUUGCCCACGUACGUGCUUAGGAUGCUGGCAUAAUGGCCUUAAUCGACC